rnacentral:lncRNA from 1 species
AACAUACCGAACUUCUAAAAUCAUGAAGUCACGGUAUACAUUUAAAUGGUUCCGGUGAAGUUGCGGUGGAAAGUAACAUACCGGAUUUUAAAUAUAAAAAUAAAAAUAAAUAAAAAUAGUGUGAGAUACUAUUUUUAUUAGAUUUAGAGGAGUAAAACAUAAGUCAGAAAUGACUUGUGCUGAAAUCGGACUGAAAACAGAAGAUUUAGAAUUUUCUGUUGGAAACGGGACAGAUAAAUUAGCAAAAAAUGCACAGUCUCAGAAAAUUAUAAAAAUUGGAGGAUAAGUCAGAAAUAUUUUUAUGAGGCUAGAUUUAAAGUUUCAUAUUUUUCUGACACCCGUAGAGAGAGAAAUAGCAUCCGAAAGCUAUCUGAUAAAGAUUGCAGUUCGGCACAGUUUUCAGUGACCAAACGGGGUCGAAACUGAAAUAUUAAAAUUUCUUUGGACUUAUUAAGUAAAACCGAGCAUGCCUGUCAAAUUUGAGCUCAAUCGGAUAUUCAGAAGGGCUCCGGCGAAAAAUAAACUGCCCGAAGUGAAUAGUACGUAGUUGAGGGGCAAAAUGGUAAAAAGGGUUUAAAACCCUUUCUUCUUCUCCUUCCCCAACCGAGGCUGCCCCAAACCGCAUCACACACACACACAAACGCACACGCAUGGAAUGGAAAGGAGAAAGCUCUCUUUCUCUCUCUAAAUCUCUCCCAAAAAGAGAGAAAUUGGUGGAGAUUGAAGCUUGGCGAUGAAUCGUCUUCAUCUUCUUCAUCUUCUCCAUGGUUUGGAGCUAUUUUUGAGAUGAGCUUCUCGAUCCCUCUCAUGGUAGAUCUCCAAAGCUUUAUGUAUAAUUCAUAGAAAUAGAUUUAGUAGCAUUCCUAUAUGCUAAUUAGAAGUUCUAUUGCUUGAAUCCAAGGUUAUAUUGUGUAUUCUUGCAAUACUUGAAACCUAGGGUUCAAAAUGCAAAUUUUGCUACUAGUAGGGUUUGAUCUCAUUUGACCCUUCGUAAACCUAAUUGUUAGGUAAACAAACGCGUUGGCGAAGACGGUUCGGCGAUUCGUCGAGCCGUUGCGAAGUUAUUAAAGAAACGAACGUUAGGCUUCGUAUCCGCCUGCAGGGCCGAGGCGAUGUUGUAAAGUCGUGAAAAUGGAUUUGUAGCAUCGUGGCAUCAAACCGAAGACCUAUAAUUUUCGGGGCUGCGAAGCGGAGGACGGUUGAGGCACAACUGCGAAAUCGGGCCCAAACGGGUACCGGGCGCCGUGGGAGGCCGAUUGCAAGUGUCGACAAGCAAUCGGAACGCGAAUCGAGGUGGGUUGUGCUUACCGAAGCGACUAGGUCGUCUUUAUGUCUAAGCAAAUUAAGAAUU